rnacentral:rRNA from 1 species
ACGGAAGGCAGCAGUGAGGAAUAUUGGUCAAUGGGCGGAAGCCUGAACCAGCCAUGCCGCGUGAAGGAAUAAGGCCCUAUGGGUCGUAAACUUCUUUUGACGGGGAGCAAUAAGACGUACGUGUACGUCGAUGAGAGUACUCGUCGAAUAAGCAUCGGCUAACUCCGUGCCAGCAGCCGCGGUAAUACGGAGGAUGCAAGCGUUAUCCGGAUUUAUUGGGUUUAAAGGGUGCGUAGGCUGUUUGUCAAGUCAGAGGUGAAAGGUCGCAGCUCAACUGUGAAAUUGCCUUUGAUACUGGCAGGCUUGAAUACUGUUGCCGUGGGAGGAAUGAGUAGUGUAGCGGUGAAAUGCAUAGAUAUUACUCAGAACACCGAUUGCGAAGGCAUCUCACGAAGCAGACAUUGACGCUGAGGCACGAAAGCGUGGGGAUCAAACAGGAUUAGAUACCCUGGUA